GUCUAUUUAGUUUAAUAUAAAAUUUUGAAUUGUGAUUUCAGUGAUCUCUAUGAGGAUAGGCU
rnacentral:tRNA from 1 species